ACCGAAUUCGUCCACAACAGAGUUUGAUCCUGGCUCAGAACGAACGCUGGCGGCAGGCUUAAUACAUGCAAGUCGAACGGCUGUAGCAAUACAGCAGUGGCAGACGGGUGAGUAACACGUGGGAACCUACCUAGGGGUACGGAAUAACUCAGGGAAACUUGUGCUAAUACCGUAUACGACCUCAGGGUGAAAGAUUUAUCGCCCCUAGAUGGGCCCGCGUUGGAUUAGCUAGUUGGUGAGGUAAAAGCUCACCAAGGCGACGAUCCAUAGCUGGUCUGAGAGGAUGAUCAGCCACACUGGGACUGAGACACGGCCCAGACUCCUACGGGAGGCAGCAGUAGGGAAUCUUGGACAAUGGGCGAAAGCCUGAUCCAGCCAUGCCGCGUGAGUGAUGAAGGCCUUAGGGUUGUAAAGCCCUUUCGCCAGGGAAGAUAAUGACGGUACCUGGAUAAGAAGCCCCGGCUAACUUCGUGCCAGCAGCCGCGGUAAUACGAAGGGGGCUAGCGUUGUUCGGAAUUACUGGGCGUAAAGCGCACGUAGGCGGUUUUCCAAGUUGGAGGUGAAAUCCCCGGGCUUAACCUGGGAACUGCCUCCAAAACUGGAAAGCUCGAGUCCGAGAGAGGUGAGUGGAAUUUCCAGUGUAGAGGUGAAAUUCGUAGAUAUUGGAAAAGACACCAGUGGCGAAGGCGGCUCACUGGCUCGGUACUGACGCUGAAGUGCGACAGCGUG
rnacentral:rRNA from 1 species